GAGCACAGGGCUAGGGAUCCUGAGCCGGGCGCGGAGUGAGCGGCCCGUCGCGUUCAUUUCCAUAAGAAAGCUGAAAUCGCGGUUGGAGGGAGGAUUUCUCGCCCUAACCGCCCUCCCCCUAUACCCGGUUUUCGGCAAGAAACGGGCUCCGGAGCUCAGAGCCCUACGUGUGUGCGCUGGUCUUUGAUGGUAUUGAUAAAAUGUGGUUUCAGAUGUUGCCCCGACUGAGGCCGGUUUCCUGUCUGUUGUGCGGAGUGGAAGGACCGCGCGGGGACUCCAAAGCUGCUCGCGGUGAUCAAGCGGUUUCCAAAUUCUGCUACCUAAGAUGUUUACAGCACUCCACCCCAACGGAGGAGGUCAGAAGCUAGAGAGGAUGUUUUCAAAGAGUCCACCAGAGGCGUCUAUCAUCUAGGUCUGACGGGACUUGCUUUCUCAGGAAACCUGGUGGGCGAGUCUGGUCAGAGGUGGAGGCAAGUUUCCUCAACUUACAACUUGCUUUGAAACUGACAUAGAAAGAGGGCAGCGAACGCUGUCACCCAGAGAGGGCCUCCACGGCCCUUUUCUCUCCUGGUGGACUCCUGAGACUCCCCCUAAGUGGCCCUUAGACAUUCAAGAUGUCAGGUAAGCUGGGAGGAGGAGUUUGAUCUGUCCCCUGCACCCAAGUAAAUACAAAUACAUUUUGCUCCUUGAAAAGAAAUGUCACCGCUUUAAACUUUCCCCAGCCAGAGAUCCAACUAGUUGCAUCAGGGUCUCUUGUCAGCAACCUUAACCCAUCCUGCCUCUUGUUUCCUUCUUUGUGGCCUAAGGUUGCAUUUUAGGGGGGGUUAUACAACGCUGCUCAUGUCAGCAAACCUCCCUGUCUCCAGCCUCACCCCAUCUCCCUGCCCGGAACUGUAGUCGGAAACCACAGACACACAAAUUCUCGUUAAAAUUUUCUGUUAUUCUUCCCGAUGGGAAGAGUUGACAAGACAUCGACAUUAAGUUGCAUAAAAUACAGUGGACUGAUCAGCCAGAAUGCAUCUCAUUUGCACUUGUACGGAGCCAGGGGUAGUGUCACUCCCUCCCUCCAGUUCUCUCUGCCAUGCUGGGCUGCCUGGCUGGAAUUUCCUAGCCGGCCCCACUCCGGAGGCCAUUGGUGAGGUCGGAGCCCCAGCCCAGCCCAGCUCAGGCCAGCCAGGGCUGGGGGGGAGGUGGGAGGGCAGAAGCCUCUGGAGGCCUGGCCCGAGGGUUGAGCCAACUUUGGCAGACCUUCCACUCUGGGCUGCCCCGGGGGGCUGUGAGGCCCUGCUGGGUGGGCACAGGCGGCUGGAAGCCCCACAGUCUGCAGCUCUUCCGAGGGGCCCCCUCUGGGUUGAAUUAAAGAAAGAGGACGACACCAUGAAGGAGAGGGAUGGUCACUGAACAGUUUAUACUCACUUCUACCCUUCUUCCCCAAUUUUGUUCUCAUCACCUCCUUUGUCACCAGUGGAGGGGCACUGCGUCUUGAUGGGUUCUUCUCCCUACUGGUCCUCCUGACCUCAGAGCGUGAGGGCUUCUUCCUUUUCUCCCGCCUGGCCCAGCUGCCCUCCUGGGACCCAGAGUUCCCAGAAAAAAAAUGCCUUUCUCAUCAACUCUCAAAGGCCCCGGCAGCUGCAAGGGGGAGCCUCGGGAACCCAGUGGGGGCACUAGGGGGAAGUUUGGGGUCUUUACGCUGUUCUGCCUCACCACUCACAACCACUCCCCUGCUGCUUUGGUCUCAACUUUCCCGGAACCGGGUGCUGGGCUUCAACUCCUAUCCACCAAUACCUACCCAGAGCAGGGGCGCCGGGUCACUGCCAAGGUUUGGUGGUGACGGGAGGCCUGGGGGCAGCGGUGAUAGAAGGGCCAGAGGGUAUGGGGGGCUCUGGGAGCCUCAGCGGGGGUGGGGGGAGGACUCGAGUGCCCAAGCUUAGCCUCCUUGAAAGCCUCAAAAGCACGUCCCUGGGGCGUCUUUUCCAUGGUGUCCUGCUUGCUCUCCUUGCAAAGGCCAUGGUGACUCAGACAUCCGCCAAACCCAGGAGCUCCCCUUUUCUCCAGCGUUCUUCUUGUCCAGCAGGGAGGCGUGUGGACUGCUUCUGGGCCUCCACUGCCAGGCCUGAUCGCAGCCCAUGACCUUCGCGGAGGGGUGGGGGCGGGGGGGGAGCAACCAAGGGCCAGGGAUGUUGCCCAGCAAGACCGCGGCCUCACUGCGCCACCGGAGGAACAGCCACCGACGAGGCCCGGCGGACCCAG